GGGUAGCGUAGGCGGCUGAUUAAGUCAGCGGUGAAAGGUAGCAGCUUAACUGUUUUACAUGCCGUUGAUACUGGUUAGCUUGAGUUGACAGAAGGCAGAUAGAAUUCCUGGUGUAGCGGUGAAAUGCUUAGAUACCAGGAGGAAUACCGAUUGCGAAGGCAGUCUGCUGCAGUCACACUGACGCUGAGGCUCGAAGGUGCGGGGAUCAAACAGGAUUAGAUACCCCCAGU
rnacentral:rRNA from 1 species